rnacentral:rRNA from 2 species
UCUCAUUGACCCAAUGACUUCUUUCGCCUUGCGUGGAAGGAGUUCACUAUGCGACCCCAGGUCAGGCGGGGCUACCCGCUGAGUUUAAGCAUAUC